CAUUAAGUAAACACCUUGAUGUCCUGUCAAAAUAUGGAACAGGAAAACAAACUAAAGACUUCAAAUGGCUGAGUAGGAAAGGAUGGUGAUCUUGAUGGUUUUUCUGUAAUUACCUCUUUUGUUGCAGCUCUUUGUCCUAGAGCUGCACCUACCGUCUUACUACUAUGUUUAUCCUUAAACUACUCUUACCCCAAUUGUUGAAACCAAUUUGUCAAAUAAUCG
rnacentral:lncRNA from 1 species